AAAUAAUAAUUCACUAAAAAGACAAAGACACAAAACACUACGUGUGAGUGAUCAAGAACAUUGAACCCCACCACCAACAAAAGCCACUUUAAACAUAAGAAACAAAACGUGAAACAUAUGAAAUGAUAAAAAAGAAAACAAAAAGAAAAUGAUUGGUUUGGUAAAUAGUAAAAAAUACCUUGAAAGAGCAAUGAAAUUUGGUUGAAGAAAGCUUUUUUUCUUCUUAACCGUUAACGCAUAACCAACAACCAAUUUCUGACCCAAAAACGGCGUCGUACCCACCUCAGAUUUCUCCAUUAUUACUUCUUCUUCUUCUUCUUCUCCGCUUGAGAUUUCUCCGUUUAGUCUCAUACCGAAAAUACCCCUGAUUUAAAGAUCAAAUCUUUUUCCC
rnacentral:lncRNA from 1 species